UCUGCACAAUGGUAAAAUGAACAGUCUCGCUCGUUCGAACGCCAGUAUUUAUGGCACGAAAGACGAUCUGUACGACAGACUGAAGCGUCACGCGUACCCUGGCAAAAAAGACAAAAGCGACAGUGAUAGCGAGGGUCAGUGACGGCGACGAGCGACGACGUUCUACCAGCGUAGAAUAUAAACAAUUAAAUUAAAAGCAAGCUCCCUUCCCCACCCACCCUACCCCUAUAUACGAACAACACGGAGCCCUCGUUGCUCCAUCGUCGAGUUCUAAUUAUUUAUUGUUCCCGAUAGACGAACGUUGUUGUUGCCCGGUUCGCGCAGUCUCAGGGAGCCGAGACAAUCGAAAAUGAUUUUUCGAACGCGACCGAUGGGCAAAGCGGGUUUGUUUAAUCGACGGUUAACCAACCGAGUCCUGGAACGAUGAUCCAUUGAUCGUCGCUUCGGCACCCGUCGGUCGAUUAAUCGCCCGGUGAAAUUCGGAUCGGGGUCACGCGAUCACGCGUCGCACAAACAUAGGAGACACAAACUCGAAUAACACAUACGAACGCACGUACGCGCGCAAAAGAAACGCGCGAGAAAAACAAACAUACAGAGGGAAAAAUAGAAAGAAAGACUACGCGCGAGGUUGUAAUUUUUUGUAAUUUAAUACCGUGUCUAUAGCCGUUAAGGACUUUAUUAUAUUAAUUAACUCCUACGAUUAACGGUGCGAGCGAGAGAAGAACGUGUGUGCAUGUAUGUUAAUACACCUAUACAUAAGCGGAUUUAUAUUUUGUUACUAUAGAUGCUCGUAUCAUACGCUGUAAAAUAAUGUUCACGUAGGCAGGCAAAGGCGCAGACGCGCAGAGAACGCGGCGGCGAGAAAAAGAACAGCGGGCAGAGAAAACGCCGGCGGAACGCGUUCGAACCGCGGCGUUUCUGUUUCGGAGAAACCGCGACACUGUUCCGCCAAUUGCCAAGAGGUCCCGGGUCGAAGUUAAUCGGCGAACUGUCUAUUUAACGCCUUUCUCGUUCCAGAGAGUCGACGCGGAGGAAACGACCUCCAGCGGCCAAUUAACUUCGACUCGAACUCCUGUAGUUAGCACUUCGGGGAAAAUCAAAAUCAACGACCAUCCGAGAGAACACCGCGAACAUGUACAUUCGACCGAGCCUACAACGCUGUUUUUUCACUUUUUACUGUAAAAACUUUAACAAACGGUUGUUUUCUUCUUUUUUUUUAUUAAUAAAAUGUAUUUCGAUAAUA